GUAAUUACUACAAAUUACAAAUAAUUGCAACUAAUUACUAAUGAAUAGUCAGACACUACCGGGCUCAUAACGACUGAACGGAACGGACGUCCGCACGAAUUUAUGUUGCAGUAACUUCGGAAAUUGCUGCAUUUUAUUUUGCCUAAAUGAAGCCUACACAUUAACGAAAAAUGCAGUGUGAGGAAAACUGAACGAUGUUAACUGUUCGAUGAAUUAUGGAAGACUGGAUACCUAGAAGCCCUACAAUAGUUUUUAUAAAUGAAUAACAAAAGAGUAGGUUGUCAUGGAGACAUAAACCUGAGAUUUCAUGAAAUUUUUACUUUGAAAUUGUGCCAUUAUGUAUGAAUUACGUAACACGACACUGAUAUAUUUGACUUCUACACAUUUUUCUGAAAAUUUACAUACCUAAUUCUUUCCAUUACGUUUACAUUUGAGGUCCAUCGUUCCUUGACUUCUAGUACUGUUUUUACACUAUUUGGAAUGCACAUUAAGAUGCAAAUACAGUCUUGGAUGCACAGAGAGUCUGUUGAACACAAUAUACGUCGUUUUACAUAUGAAGAGUAUCAUUUAUACAAUAAAUUUUACAUAAUGUCAUUCCACUCAUAAAUAAAAGGUAUGCUGAACUUUACUUAUAGUCUUAGUUAAAUACAAGGUUUUUAUUUAUAAGUGUACCGAUAAAUUG